CUCCUGAGUGCUGGGAUUAAAGGUGUGCGCCACCACGCCCUGCGAGAAAACUUUUUUUAAGGUAUGGCGGUUCAGGUGAGAAUGUUCCCACAUGACCAGAUAUUUGAACUCUUGGUCCCAAGUUGGUGGUGCUCUCUGGGACAAGAGGGUGGGGUGGGACGAGGACGACAGGGUGGGUGGCAGUCCUCCCUCCACUUCCUGUUCUCUCUCCCCUGCUUGUUAUUGACGUGCUGGGGGGGGAGGGUUAGAGGAGGGGGAGCGGUCCUCCCUCCACUUCCUGUUAGUUCUCUCUCCCCUGCUUGCCUUUGGCAAACAGGUUUCUCAGCUUCUCCCUCAGCCACUCUGAUGUCCUGCUGAGAUGCCUUUCCACCACCAUAGGCUCGCAGCCUCUGAAAGCCCGUGGCUUGAUAAUUAACCUGAGGGAAUGACCAAGAUUAGAUUUUUGUGCUCCCAGCAUGUGCCAGUAGUUGGAGGCAGGAGAUGAGUGCCAAAUUAUCCCAAAUUGAAAUUUACAGCACAUAAGUCAGAAGCAGCCAAAUUAAGCCUGGCUUUGGAAACCUUCCAGUCUUAUACGUUGAAGAACCAGAAACAAAAGAAAAAAAGAAAUACAGAUACAAGAACUACCAAUUCUAUGAGAAUAGCACUAGGCCAGGCGUGGUGGCCUUUAAUCCCAGCACUCCGGAGGCAGAGGCAAGCGGAUUUCUGAGUUCGAGGCCAGCCUGGUCUACAAAGUGAGUUCCAGGACAGCCAGGGCUGUAGUCCCCCCUCCCCCAGCCUGAAACCUGCUUGCUCAGGGGUGGAGCUUCCUGCUCAUUCGUUCUGCCACGCCCACUGCUGGACCUUGCAGCUUUGCUGUUUGGAGCCACAUCGUGCUCACCCUGCUACUGGAUUCCGAGAUUAUUUGGCGGGAAUCGGGUCCCCUCCCCCUUCCUUCAUAACUGAGUGUCGCAACAGUAAAAUUGAGCUUUGAUCAGAGU
rnacentral:lncRNA from 1 species